GCUUGCUUCUCUCCGGCGACGAGUGGCGAACGGGUGAGUAAUACAUCGGAACGUGUCCGCUCGUGGGGGACAACCAGCCGAAAGGUUGGCUAAUACCGCAUGAGUUCUACGGAAGAAAGAGGGGGACCCGCAAGGGCCUCUCGCGAGCGGAGCGGCCGAUGACUGAUUAGCCUGUUGGUGAGGUAACGGCUCACCAAAGCAACGAUCAGUAGCUGGUCUGAGAGGGCGACCAGCCACACUGGGACUGAGACAUGGCCCAGACUCCUACGGGAGGCAGCAGUGGGGAAUUUUGGACAAUGGGCGCAAGCCUGAUCCAGCUAUUCCGCGUGUGGGAUGAAGGCCCUCGGGUUGUAAACCACUUUUGUAGAGAACGAAAAGACACCUUUUAAAAAAGGGUGUUGCUGACGGUACUCUAAGAAUAAGCACCGGCUAACUACGUGCCAGCAGCCGCGGUAAUACGUAGGGUGCGAGCGUUAAUCGGAAUUACUGGGCGUAAAGGGUGCGCAGGCGGUUGAGUAAGACAGAUGUGAAAUCCCCGAGCUUAACUCGGGAAUGGCAUAUGUGACUGCUCGACUAGAGUGUGUCAGAGGG
rnacentral:rRNA from 1 species